rnacentral:lncRNA from 1 species
UUUUUCUUUUUUUAAUUUAUUACAUUUAUUGUUGUACAAUGAUCAUCACAAUCCAAUUUUAUAGGAUUUCUAUCCCACACCCCCCGCGCAUCCCCUCACCCCACAAACUGUCUCCUUUGGAAACCAUAAGUGUUUCAAAGUCUGUGAGUCAGUAUCUGUUCUACAAAGAAGUUCAUUGUGCCCUUUUUUCAUAUUCCACAUGUCAGUGAAAGCAUUUGAUGUUGGUGUCGCAUUGUCUGACUGACUUCACUUAGCAUGAUAAUUUCUAGGUCCAUCCAUGUUGCUAAAAAUGCUGGUAUUUUGUUCUUUUUAAUGGCUAUUAUUCCAUUGCAUAUAUGUACCACAUCUUCUUGAUCCACUCCUCUGUUGAUGGACAUUUAGGUUGUUUCCAUGUGUCGGCUAUUGCAAGUAGUGCUGCAGUGAACAUUGGAGUACAGGUGUUUUUGCGACUCAUGGUUUUCUCUGGAUAGAUGCCCAGGAGUGGGAUUGCUGGAUCAAAUGGUAGUUCUAUUUUUAGUUUUCUGAGAAAUCUCCAUACUGUUUUCCACAGUGGUUGCACCAGUUUACAAUUCCACCAAUAGCGUAAUAGGUUACCUUUUCUCCACACCCUCUUCAUCACUUAUUGUUUGUAGACUUUUUGAUGAUGGCCAUUCUGGCUGGUGUAAGGUGGUACCUCAUCGUGGUUUUGAUUUGCAUUUCUCUAAUAAUGAGUGAUGUUGAACAUCUUUUCAUGUGUUUCUUGGCCAUCUGUAUGUCUUCUUUGGAGAACUGUCUGUUUAGAUCUUCUGCCCAUUUUUUGAUGGGGUUGUUUGUGUUUUGGUAUGGAGUGGUAGGAGGUGUUUAUAAAUUUUGGAGAUGAAUCCCUUGUCAGUCGAUUCAUUUGCAAAGAUUUUCCCCCAUUCUGUGGAUUGUCUUUUUGUUUUGUUUAGGGUUUCCUUUGCUGUGUAGAAACUUUGAAGUUUGAUUAGGUCCCAUUUGUUUAUUUUUGUUUUUAUUGUCAAUACUCUAGGAGGUGGAUCCAAGAAGAUGUUGCUGUCGUUUAUGUCAGAGAGUGUUUGGCCUCUGUUUUCCUCUAAGAGUUUGAUAGAGUCUGGCGUUAUAUCUAGGUCUUUAAUCCAUUUUGAGUUGAUGUUUGUGUAUGGUGUUAGGGAGUGUUCUGAUUUCAUUCUUUUCCAUGUGGCUGUCCAGUUCUCCCAGCGCCACUUAUGGAAGAGGCUGUCUUUUCUCCCUUGUAUAUUCUUGCCUCCUUUGUCAUAGAUUAGUUGGCUGUAGGUGCGUGGGUUUAAUUCUGGGCUUUCUAUCCUGUUCCACUGUUCUAUAUUAUCUUUCCAUUUCUUUGAGUCAUCCUCGAUUUCCUUUAUUAAUGUUUUCUAGUGCUCAGCAUAUAAAUCUUUCACCUUCUCGAUCAGGUUUAUUCCUAAGUAUUUUAUUUUUUUGAUGUGGUGUUAAAAGGGAAUCUUUUUACUUUCCCUUUCUGAUAUUUCAUUAUUAGUGUAAAGAAAUGCAGCAUAUUUCUGCAUGUUAAUCUUAUAUCCUGCUACCUUGCCAAAUUCUUUUAUCAGUUCUAGUGGUUUUAGUGUGAAAUUAUUAGUUAUGUAUAUAUGUAGUAUCAUGUCAUCUGCAUAUAAUAACAAUUUUACCUCUUCCCUGAGGUAGGGUUUUCUGGGGGUUUUUUAAAUAUAUUAUUUGCAGUUAUGUUUAGUGAGGCUAUAAAGUGUUAGACUCGAUUUUUACUCAAAAUUAUUUAUUCCAGAGUUCCCAUUGUCACUCAGCAGGUUAAGAACCUGACUAGCAUCCAUGAGGAUUAGGGUUCAAUCCCUGGACUUGCUCAGUGGGUUAAGAAUCCAGCAUUGCCACAACUUCGGCAUAGGUCCAAGAUACAGCUGAGAUCCCACAUUGCUAUGGCUGUGGCGUAGGCCAGCAACUGCAGCUCUGAUUUGAUCCUUAGCCUGGGAACUUCCACAUAAUGCAGGUGGGGCCCUAAAAAAAAAAGUGUGUGACUUCAAAAUUAUUUAUUCCUAGGAUCUUGGUUUGUUUUAUGUGGUCAUUGUUCUUAGCAUACUAAUAUAAGAUCCUUAAACAUCUUCUGUUGAAAAAUCCUGGAGGGCCUGAUUUGGCAUGAAUGAAUUUAGCCAGAUGCCCAAGACAGAUGCCCUUUCUUGUUUAAGCCGUUCAAGUUUGCAACCAGAGAACUCCAUGUAAUGGAAGGAAACACAGCGUCUUCUGGCACUGUGCUCAUUUCCAGUUAUGUGCUUUCUACGUCUCCUCGUUCAUUUCCUCUUGCCAGUUUUCUUUUUCUUAGGCCCAGUGAUUUUUCCCUCUUCACUACUCUUCGAACACCAAGUUCAGAUCGGUUCAGAAUAUGUAUUUUAAUAGUCAUCUGGGCAAUUCUUGCCGUCUGAUAAAUUUCAAAGUCUAGGCAGUGGGAGGGCUUUAGAUCUGUGACCUACACAGUGCGACCUCGCCCACUGCUGAGAGCCUCUCAAGGUUUUCUCUUUUCCUCACACCAUAUGUUCAGUCCAUCAGCAAAUCCUCUCAGCUCUACCUUCAAAAUAUGUUCAGGAUCUAAGAGUUCCCGUUGUGGUGUAGCAGAAACAAAUCGGACUAGGAACCAUGAGGUUGCCGGUUUGAUCCCUGGCCUCGCUCAGUGAGUUAAGGAUCCGGCAUUGCUAUGAGCUAUGGUGUAGGUCAAAGAUGAGACUUGCAUCAGAUGUUGCUGUGACUGUGGUGUAGGCCAGCAGCCGUAGCUCUGAUUCGACCCCUAGCCUGGGCACCUCCAUAUGCUGCAGGUGUGGCCCUAAAAAGCAAAAUAUACAUAUAUAUAUGUAUAUAUAUAUAUUUUUUUUUUUUCAGGAUCUGAUCCCUUCUCACCACCUCCACUGCUACUACCCUAGACAAGACAUCCUUUUCUUUCCUUCCAAUAAUGGAGCUGCCUCCUGACUGAUUCCUCACCACACUUCCUUUCCUACAGCUUGUUCCCCACACAACAGCCAGAUUGGUCUCAAAAAAAAUCGGAUGCCAUCCCUGUCCUGUUCAAACCCUCUGUUAGGGGCUGAAUCACGACCCUUGAAAAUUCAUAUGUUGAAGCCCUCACCUCCAAUACCUCAGAAUGCAACUGUAUUGGGAGAUAGGACCUUUAAAGUGGUAAUUAAAGUGGCACAAUGGGAUCAGUGGCAUCUCUGCAGGGCCGGGACACAGGUUCAAUCCCUGGCCUGGUGUAGUGGGUUAAAGAAUCCAGUGUUGGAGUUCCUAUUGCGGCUCAAUGGUAAUGAACCCCACUAGUAUCCAUGAAGAUGUGGAUUCAAUCCCUGGACCCACUCAGUGGGUUAAGGAUCUGGUGUUGCCGUGAGGUGCAGUGUAGGUUUCAAACAUGGGUUGGAUCUGGUGUAGCUGUGGCUAUGGUGUAAGGCCGGCAGCUGUAACUCCAAUUCAACCCCUAGCCUGGGAACGUCCAUAGGCUGUGAGUGCAGCCCUAAAAUGACAGAGAGAAAAAAAGGGAUCCAGGGUUGUCACAGCUGUAGCAUAGCUUGCAACUGCAGCUCCAAUCUGAUCCCUGGCAUGGGAGCUGCGUUUCUGCCAGGUGGCCACAAAAAGAAAAAAAGAAAGAAAGAAAAGAAGGUAAUCCAGUUAAAAUGAGGUCAUUAGUGUGGGCCUGAAUCCAAUGGAAUUGUGUCCUUGAAAAAAGAGGAAAUUUGGACACAGACAUCUACAGAAGGAAGAUCAUAUGAAGCCAUAGAGAGAAGACCCUCUAAAGCCAAGGAGAAAGGCCUCAGAAGAAACCCUGCUGACACCUUAAUCUCAGGCUGUGAGAAAUCAGUUUCUGUUGCUUAAGUCACCCCAUCUGUGGUACUUUGUUAUGGAAGCCUGAGCAAAUGAAUAUACUCUCCUGAUCUCACCUAGAGACAAAGUCAACGUCCUUAUCCAAACCUAUAAAGCCCUAAAUGACAAACUUUCCAGACAUGGUGCCCACUGCUUGGAAACUCAUUGUUUCAGCAAAUUAGGAGGCUAAAGACUUGCCAUUGUUACAUGGAAGCUAGACUGACACAGUUACUGUUGUAACAGGAAAAAUCUAGCAUUGGAAGGAAAAUUAGCUGUCAAUAAAUAUUAGCCUUAAUGAUGAUCACAUAAAUUAAAAUCUCAUCUCAGAAAGUUUAGCCAACUCUGCCUACCUUUCUGAUCUGCUCUUCAGUGGAGAUCUUGGAAACAGUUCUUUAGUUCUUCGUAUAUGGGGCAGGACCACACAAAUCCCCCUUCGUUGUCAGAACUGGGUGUUGAUGGCAGGUGAAGGGCUGAAAUCGAGCAACACAUGGAAUUACCUCGUGGUUUAUUACUCAUUUCAAUUAAAGGACCAUAAAUCUCUAGCCGGGUUGCGCUGUUUCCACUGAGACGUCAAAACGGUUGAAAGGAGGCUCAGAAAGCUGCUUGGCUCCUGCCUGGGACAGGCAGCUAAUAGUGCAACCAGGAGAGCAGCUGGUUCUUGUAAUUAGUGCUGUUGUUCCAAAUUUAAAGAGAGAAGAGAGAAUUAAGUAAAGUGCUUUGGGGUGGGAGAGAUGGCUGGGCGAAGAGCGUAAACGAAGGUGGGGGGGGGUGUUGCCAUGGCCGCCUUUGUCCUGUUUAUCUACCAUGUUAGUUUGCUGGAGCUGCCACACAAAUACGACACACUGGGUGACUUCAACAACAGGAAUGUAUUUUCUUACCGCUCUGGAGGCUAGGGAGUCCAAGGUUAAGGCAUCAGUAGGGUUGUUUUCCUCUGACGCCUUUCCGCCUUGGCUUGCAGAUGGCCGCUUUUGCACCGUAUCCUUGCAUGGCCUUUUCUCCGUGCAUGUGCACCCCUGGGGUCUAGGUGUUCUAAGCGCCUCUUUUUUUUUUUUUUUUUUUUGGCUGCACCCAUGGCAUGCAGAAGUUCGCAGACCAGCAACUGAACCCGUAUCACAGAAGUGACAAUGCUGGACUAUAAUCCACAGGGCCACCAGGGAACUCCCUAAUCUCCUCUUCUUAUGAGAACACCAGUCAGAUGGGCUUAGGGCCCACCCUAAUGGCCUCAUUUUAAUUUAAUCACCUCUUUCAAGGUCCCUUCUCCAAAUACUGUCACCUUUUGAGGUCCUGGGCAUUAGGACUUCAACAUAUGAAUAUCAGGGCAGAGACACAGUUCCGCUCCUGACACCUGCCUGGUGCUUGGCCACCCCCAGCAGAUGUGAAUGUUGGUUGCUAGUAACUUACAGCUACUUACUUACAACCUUCUCCUCAGAGAAUUGUUCGAGGGUGACUGGGGUCCCCUUACCUGGGAACUUGCCCUGACACUGUUAUA